UAUGGCUCACACGAACGCUGGCGGCGCGUCUUAAGCAUGCAAGUCGAACGGCAAGAGGUAGCAAUACCUCCUAGAGUGGCGGACUGGUGAGUAACACGUGGGUGACAUACCCUUCAGAUGGGGAUAGCUAUUAGAAAUAGUAGAUAAUACCGAAUACGAGCACAGGGGUUAGAGAUCUGUGAGGAAAGGAGCUAAGGCUCCGCUGAAGGAAUGGCCUGCGGCCCAUUAGCUAGUUGGUGAGGUAAGAGCCCACCAAGGCGAUGAUGGGUAUCCGGCCUUAGAGGGUGAACGGACACAUUGGGACUGAGAUACGGCCCAGACUCCUACGGGAGGCAGCAGCUAAGAAUAUUCCGCAAUGGACGAAAGUCUGACGGAGCGACGCCGCGUGGAUGAAGAAGGCCGGAAGGUUGUAAAAUCCUUUUGAAACUGAAGAAUAAGCGUUGUAGGGAAUGACAGCGUGGCGACAGUAGGUUUUGAAUAAGCAACGGCUAAUUACGUGCCAGCAGCGGC
rnacentral:rRNA from 1 species